AUGGGGCUCGGCCUCUGUGGCGCAGCAGCAGCUAUCAGCAGGCUUCUUAUGUCAGCAACGCUCCAGAAAUAGCAAUGACGGGGGCUGCGGGACAGAGACCCACAGGGUCCGAUCAGUGGGGUCCUGAAAACUCUGGGUUUGUUUCCAGAGCGGUCAGAAAGGUUGGAGUAAAGAAAAAAUUAGUCAGGUUGAUUCCAGGAGGAGCACUCUCCUGCAGGAUCCGAAAUAACACCACUGAGGGGGCAGAGCUUCACGGGUGCCAACCAGGAGGUGACCCAGACAACUUUCAGAGAGGACAACUGGUGGCCCUUGGAGAAGACAGUACUGAGGAUAGCUCCAGAAGGAUGCAGCUGACGUCUGUACUGCCCUGUACCAGGGUGCCCUGCUGUUCAAGACCUCUGGAUUUCUCCAUUGACACAACGAAAAGUAGCCUACAUCCCCUACAGUGACGACUCAGCUGGAAAAUUUCCUCAUGCUGAUCCCAUGCUCCAUCGUCUUGUAGCUGGAACUCAAAUGCAGUGCCGGGAGGAGUGUGGAGGCUCAGAAGCCAGACCCCGCAGAUUCCCCACCCUCCGAGAAGUGCAGGUCACGGGACAAAUGCUCUCAUGCCUGCUGGGAACAGCCGACCCUGAAAUGGGUGAAAAUAUUAAAUUAAGACUUUUUUCUGUGCCCCCCAGCAAAAGCAGUUAUGGAACUAGUUAAGCGUCAGGGUUGCUGCAACCUGAAUUUCUAAUUCUGACUUCCAGGGUCUUCUUGGGACAUUUGCCUUCCUUUUAAUAACACAUUUUAAUGACAUCACACAAUUCUUGGUCUUUUGUGGAAAAUGCUGUCUUCCAUUUAUAGCCCUGAAUUCCCCAGGAAGGGGGUCCUUGAGUUUCACUUUUUUUGCAGUUCUUGUUUUGAAUUAACUAUCACUGUAAAGAAACUCAUAAUGAGCAAACUAUUUUCACUGCUUUGUGCUGGGUCAUGUGAUCCCCAGCUGCUUCGAAGCCUCUGCGAUAAGUAGCGAUGAUUUGAAAAGUGUGCAGCUAUCCGGCCCUUCGUCAUGGAGGUGACUCAAACACACACGUGCUUGUUUACAAGUUUUCGGUAUUUUAAUUUUACUACUGGUAUUGCAAAUUUUCCACUGAUUCUUGCCAGAUGUGACUCCCUAAGUAUUGGUUUGAAGUUGUUCUGUUAAAUAACACUACUAACUUAAUCUUUGGGUAUAUGUAUAUACAUUUAGGGAAUUUAAAAACAACUUCUGUUUGCCUACUAUUUCAAUCAAGCACAUUUUAAGAUUUUUACAUGUGUAAUUUACGGCCUCUCUAUGAACCUAUACAAUCUUUGCUGUAAAAAACUCUCACCUCUGAGUAAACCAAAUAGAUGAGGAAGUUUCCUGAGGUGCAGUAAGGGCUUGCCAGUGUCAAGGCAGGCAUGGCAGCUGACAAUCCAGCUUGUGGUCAUUGGCAGAGGGUCAGCUGUUAGGACUUGGAACCAGCAAGGACAAGGACAGCACGAGGUACGUAGGACAGCUGAACCCAGCACCUGAAGGGCACAGAGAGAUAAAAAGCCCAGUCCCUGUGAAGGCACAGAAGUGAGUCAGAUGCCUUCCCUCACCACAGGCCACGGAAGCGCUUACUAAAUCAGCUUACGCAAACUUAACCAACUCUGGAGUUUCUGCACAUCUUCCCUGCCAUUUGUGGACAUUCUCGGCUUUUGGUGGUGAUCUGGAUUAAGUUUCCACAGCUCUGGUGUAAACUUUGUCCUUAUUUGAGUUCCAAGAGCCACCUCUUCCCAGAGGGCCAUGGUAGAAAGUUAAUGAUCACAUACUGGGCCUUCCCUAGUCUUCAGGUAAAUUGGGAAAACUCUUGGUUUCUGGUUAUGCCUCUGCGGGAAUGCUCACAUCUGCCUGGCACAGGGCAAAUGCAGGAGCCUCUGUCAAGUGUUGUGCACCCUACUCGACAUUUGGAGAUCAAAGCCACCUGCAAUAGGUCUAACAGGAACUGAAGUCUGUGUGCGGGCCUGGGUCAGCAUCCAGGAUUACCUCUUACUGAAAAGUGGUCAGGCCAACUGUUUUCAGUCUAUACUUGUGUAAAAGGAAGGUUGGGAUUUUUGUUCACUUUGAUUUUUACAUUUAUUGGUAUGAGUGUGUAUGUACACAGCCCAUACCAUGGCACACGGGUGGACCUCAGAGGGCCGCUUUCAGAAGUUUGUUCUUUCUUAACCAUGCAGAUCUUGAGGGUCAAAAUCAGGUCCUCAGGCUUGGUAGCAAGCAUGUAGCCUACGGAGCUACCUGACAGCUCAAGUUAGUUUUUCUAAGCUCUGUAUUUACUUAAAUGAAGCAAGAGGGUUAAACAUUUACUGAGAAUAAUUUUUAUAAAAAGCGAUAACAAGAUUAGGUCCGUUUUUACCUUUUUAGCUUGUUUUGUGUGAGGGGUCUGUGCACAUGAGUGCACGGGCCUGGGACUUGAGGGGGUGCGCAUAUUUCUUGGGGAUGGUUGCAUGGCUUGUGAGCCACCGAGGUGGGCGCUCUGAACCUGGGCACUCUGCAAGAACAGCGUGUGGUCUUCGCCUCUCCACCAUCUCCCCAGCCCUAAUUCAUUUCCUUUUUGUUCAAAUAUUUUUCCACCAUCGCACAAAUGAGCUUGAAAAAUUGUUUUCUAUAGCUCAUUGUGGGAAAUACAGUUAAAACCCCAUUCGUGUUCUUCCCCUCUGAAAUUAGAGGGCAUCCAUUUCAAGUUCAUUCCUUUGAAAUUGUGAUGGUUACAGUGAAUGAAAACUGAUGACUAAGCUUACGCCUGGAAAGCGCAUCUUCUCACGCCUGUGUGACACAGGUCACCUUAAAGGAGCAGCUCCCUCCCAGGAGAGUGGAUCCCUGAAGCUCACAUCGCUCAUUCUCUCAAUCUUGUCUCAUUGCUGCAGCGUAUCUCUCACCCUUUGUGUGUGCCUGUAUACUUGCUACAAACUUCUCCCAAGGUUUUUCUCAAGAAGAAACCCGGGACAAUAACCUGCUGAGAUUUCUUUUACUGGAAAACAUUUUCAAUGUUUAUAAUUUUGUAUUUAUAUAAAAUUGUGUGGUGUGUUUGUUUGAGGGUCUCUGGUUGACCUAGAGCUUUGACAAGUGUGCUCUUUGACACUGGGAAGAUGGCUCAGUAGUUAGGAGACAUACUGCUUUUGCAAAGGACCCAGAUUUGUUCUGCAAGUUGAUUUUGUAGAAGUGUUUUGUUACCAUUUGCCCCGCCUAAUGGUGCCAAUGAAGACAUGGUUCUUGGAUGCGGUCA